CACAUAGAAAAUAAAAAUAAGGCUAAUACGUAUUAUACGAAACCAUAAAGGGAAAAGCACAGAACUACCACAAUGGUCCCAGCUUCUUGUUCUCUAAAGGUCAGCUGUGAGGAUGUGAAACAGCAUUGUAUUACCAGGGCAAAAGAAGCUGAAACACAAGAGAAAGUAUUGAAAUAGAAAGAAAAAGACGGUUUGAAGGAUUCCAGGUCAUCAUAUUGUAGUUCUCAGAACAUUUAGUUGCUCUGUAAAUACUGCUUAAUUAAAUGUACUCAGAUUGACAGCAAUAUUUAACUCCAAUUGCAUUAGAACUGAAUCACUACCUGCAAUAUUAAUUCCAGAUACCGCAGCAGAAGCAAACUAGGAGUAGGUCUGAUUUUACAUCCUGAUCAAGAAUUUAUGCUGCAGAUCCAAACGUAUCGAGUCAAAGGACAAUGUUAAUUUAUCACAAGGUCACACAGACCUCUACUGCCUUGAUUCAUGUUCUCUGCUCCCAGCUUCACAGAAGACCUGUGUAAAGGCCAACUGCUUAGUCUGAAUGUCAUGAAGAAGAAUGUGGCAAAUAUGGUCACCCCUUCAUAUUUUAGCUUCCUAGAGAAAUCUGAUACUACAUCAAACAGAUAUUUAUCUUGGAUGCUGUGGGAAGGGCAUUUUAGUGCAUGGAGCAGUGGCUGAAAUCUGACAUUACAACUGAAAAUGGACUGAUGAUCUGUAGCAAAUGAAGGUCUGUCAAUCAGAUGAAAUGUCCAAACCUGCUGAACUAAAUGAGCUUGUUUGUCACUGUAAUUAUGUAGCCUUACAAUGAUAAGGUAUUACAGAUACAUGUCUAACUCAGUGCCAGAAACCGCUUUGCAGAAACCCAGUAUAUUUAAUUACAAGAGGAGGAAAAAAAAGGUUCCUCUAUUUCAUGAUCUACCCACCCCUGCAAUGAUUACUCCAGGGAAAUUCCCACUGAAGCCAAGCAGAUGGUUCCUACCUUGUUGUACGCCCAGCUUAUUUUCUUUUAAGCUAUGAAGUGGUUUACAAUGCCAUUUUUCUCUGGAGCUGCCUUGCAUUUGGCAGGCUUCAGACUGUGUGUGAAUUCCUUUUUACUGUAUAUGUGAAUGGAUUUCUUAGUUUCUUUUUUACCUCAAAUAACAAAUCCCACUUUGGAUUCAUAUAAAUAAGGACAUGAAUCAGACAAGUCUCUAGUCCAAACACGGUUUCAACAAGAUGACUCCCACUGACUUUGUUGCAAGGGAGUUAAUAACCAGAUUUAACAUCCCUGAGACAUGUUGUCCCUGGUGCAUUUCCAGAAACAUCCAUGUUGACUCUUAAAGACUUAUCUAUGGAUCAAUGUUGUAUAUUUCUGCUUCUGAGCAAUACCUUACUCCCGUUCUGCACAGACACGUAAGUUUGCAGCAAACCUGAACAGAUGUUAGUUGGAUGAGGGAGCUGUCUGCUUGCUCUGUGCCUGCUGUGAACCUAUAUUGGUCCAAAGGGCAGGAUGAAAUCCAUCUGUGAUACUCUCCGAGGCAAACUUUGCCCUCGUAUCAGAAGCCAGCUCAAGCCCUACUCACUGUUCAAGGUUUUUACCCAGGACAGAGGUGCGGUACUGGAUUGUUCUCAGCAGAAGGGUGAAUUUCUGCUAUUUCUCCUUUCUUCUUAACAUCCCAGGUUAGCAAGGCUUUCACAAGUAUCAUAGAGAUUUUGUAAAACUGAUGAACACUGAUGACAUCUCUUGAGAAACUUUUCUUUAAGUCAAAUCUCUGUAAAACUAGAAGUAACCAGAUUAAAGGCUACACCUAAAUUGGCAGUGUCUGGUCAGGGAAUGGUAUAUACUUUAUCUGAUUUGAGACUCUGUAGCUCCAAGGAGUUCUUUAAAGAAAGAUAAAUCAUUAAUCCCCACAAUCAGUUCAGAGCAGCCAGUAAAGAAGAUAAAGUUCUUGUGUCUUUGUGCCACACAUACCUCCAGGCAUCUUCUAACAGAUUUCUCUGCAGCUUGAAUUCAGCUCUCUACUUCAGAGUCAGAGACUCAGAGGGAAGCUGUGUUUGGAAGCAAAGAAAAUAGUUGAAAUCUCUCAUGAGAUAUAGUUUAAAAUAGAUACUAUUGGGGGGAAAAAGAGGUUAUCUGCAAGCAUUAUGGUGUAGUUUUUCUCUGAUAUCCAUUAAAAGCACACGCAAUACCUGGAUGACUUAACCUGUGACCAUUAUUUAUUGUAACCCACUUUUUCUCCAGAGUGAAUGCCUGAAUUCGAAUCUUCCAUUUAUGGCUAAGUGCACUUCUGGGAAGGGUAAAUAGAACAGCAAAGGCCUGGGUCCCCGGGCAAGAAGCACACAGCAAUCAAACCCAGAAAGUAGAAAAGUGGUUUUAAGUGUCCUCUUUGCUCCCUGGGCCUGGGCUGGCUGUAUAAGGCUGGCCCCAGUGGAAAUGAAAAGACCCCAAAGCCUGCUCUCUCCUCCAAUAAUUUACUUCCAUCUCUCACUUUACACUGUGGAAUAAAGAACCCCUUUGCAGGCUUUGGGAAUUACAACAUUCACCCAGGAAUGGCUCCAGCACAGCGAUUUGUGUGGUGCAUGAUUUGCGUGGUGCAGUGAUUUGCGCGGUGCAGUGAUUUGCAUGGUGCAGUGACUUGCCACACAGCACCUUUAAUGUAGAAUUACGGCAAUGCUCAAAGCAAGUUGAAACAGCUCAGUGGUUUAUACAUGUUUGCAUCCCCCUCUGCCUCCCUGUACCAAGCCAGGAUGUCUCCUUCACUUUGGACAGUAAUGAUGCAGGGAAACCCAAUAAUAGCUCUGUGUCCAGCCUUCCCCCAGGCAUGUUUUCACUCUCAUCAUUCAAUGGGAGGACAGAUGGAAAUACGAAUUAGGAGUGAGAGAUGCUGCCAACUCUCAGAAGCCCAUUGAGGGAAGGGCUUCUGAGAGAAGGUCAUCCUUUCUAUUUGUUUCCUGCCUCAGGAAACCUCUGAAACAAGCUCAGAAGAUUUGCAAGAACAGUUAUGAGCGUGUGCCUAUGAACUGAAGCUUGGCCUAGCAGCACCAUACAAGGCUGUUGCUUCAGCUGCUGACCGCAAGCACAAAGCACAGCUGAUUUUUAAGACAUGAUGGUGACUCUCUGACACACAAGCAUCUGGUCUGGCUCCACUAUCAUUUUAUGCUGGUCAGACAACAUGAGGCUUUCUGGGGAAAAGCACGUGCACUGUGUUGCUGAAUCUCACAAACCCCACAGUUUUCAGUGUUAAAACAGUUGGACUUGGAAGCUAAAUUUGGGUGAAUUCUUCUGAAGAGGAAAGCAGAUACUUUUAGUUGUUUGAAUCAUUAAACUGUACUUAAAAGAAGGAGGGAAAAGUCUCACAAGUCUUGUUUAAUGCAAGCUGCUAUUCUAGGUUUCAUUCCUGCCCCAGCUGGUAUUUCCUGCUCUCCAAAACACAGAGGAAAGGUAAGGCAUUUUUUAUUGGGAUUUAUCUGAAAGAUGAAUCCUUAAACUCUGCUAUGGCAUGAGGAGUACAGGUGCCUGGAGGAGCUGCUACCUGCCCAGGAGUGCAUGUUGUGCUGACAGCCCUGCUGAGCGAAAAGUAGAGGCUGCUAUUCCAUAUAUCUAUCUCAGCUGUGUCCAAGACAAAUCUAAUAUAAGCUUUAUUUUUGAGCAUUUAAGUGGGGAAAAGCCUUGCUUUUGUUUUCUGCACAAGAAGUAAGCUGCCAGCAGCUGGAUCUGCCUGUUCCACCAUGGCUGAAAAGUAACAUGAAUUCAACCAUCAAAUCACAGAUUUCUUUUAGAGUCACUCCCUCACAUUGCCAGUAUUGAAUGAGCAGGUUCCCAUCUUAACUUUCUAAGUUCAGCAGUUUGCAGCAGUUUAUCUCUUCUAACUCUUUGCCCCUCAAGCUCUUUUGGACUGAAACAGCUCUAAGCUCCUUGCAGUUCAUUCACUGGGGCUCCCAGCUUGGCAGAAUACCAGACUGAUGCCAGGAUGGCCAUGGCCAUGGGAUUUUUUUAAGGACGUUUAGUUCCUACCAUCUGUCUGUUGGCUCAACUCUAGGAAAUUUAGAUUGUGUUGCCUUCCCAAAGUUGUUUUUUCCCCCUUGGACUGCUGUCAGGAUAUGCAAUCUGUCUCUGUGAGUGUUCCAGUGAGACAGUACUCAAGAUGCAGUAAAAUGCCUCUGACUCUUACAUGUG